rnacentral:tRNA from 1 species
UAUGUUUUAGUAUAGUAGUAUAUAGAAAUUUUUGGUAUUUCUGAAAAUAGGCAUUAUUUCCUAUUAAACAUAU